UACGUAGGGGGCAAGCGUUGUCCGGAAUCAUUGGGCGUAAAGAGCGUGUAGGCGGCCAGAUAAGUCCGCUGUGAAAUCUCGAGGCUCAACUUCGAGCUGUCGGUGGAAACUGUCUGGCUAGAGUCCGGAAGAGGAGAAUGGAAUUCCUGGUGUAGCGAUGAAAUGCGCAGAUAUCGGGAGGAACACCGGUGGCGAAGGCGGUUCUCUGGGCCUUACCUGACGCUGAGGAGCGAAAGCGUGGGGAGCGAACAGG
rnacentral:rRNA from 1 species